ACCGAUAAAGAAAGCACCGGCUAAUCUCGUGCCAGCAGCCGCGGUAAUACGAGAGGUGCAAGCGUUAUUCGGAAUUAUUGGGCGUAAAGCGUGCGCAGGCGGUUUUGUAAGACAGUGGUGAAAUCCCCGGGCUCAACCUGGGAACUGCCAUUGUGACUGCAAGGCUGGAGUGCGGCAGAGGGGGAUGGAAUUCCGCGUGUAGCAGUGAAAUGCGUAGAUAUGCGGAGGAACACCGAUGGCGAAGGCAAUCCCCUGGGCCUGCACUGACGCUCAUGCACGAAAGCGUGGGGAGCAAACAGGAUUAGAUACCCUGGUAGUCCACGCCCUAAACGAUGUCAACUGGUUGUUGGGAAUUUAUUUUCUCAGUAACGAAGCUAACGCGUGAAGUUGACCGCCUGGGGAGUACGGCCGCAAGGUUAAAACUCAAAAGGAAUUGACGGGGACCCGCACAAGCGGUGGAUGAUGUUCUUAAUUCGAUGC
rnacentral:rRNA from 1 species